UGCAAGUCGAGCGAGAUUUAGCGUAGUGGAGACUUCGGUCAAAGUGAAACUGAUGAAAGCGGCGGACGGGUGAGUAACGCGUGGGCAACCUGCCCCAUACAAAGGGAUAGCCACUGGAAACGGUGAUUAAUACCUUAUAAGUCGGUAGUCUCGCAUGAGACAGCCGACAAAGAUUUAUCGGUAUGGGAUGGGCCCGCGUUUGAUUAGCUAGUUGGUGAGGUAACGGCUCACCAAGGCGACGAUCAAUAGCCGACCUGAGAGGGUGAUCGGCCACACUGGAACUGAGACACGGUCCAGACUCCUACGGGAGGCAGCAGUGGGGAAUAUUGCACAAUGGGCGCAAGCCUGAUGCAGCAACGCCGCGUGAGUGAUGAAGGCCUUCGGGUCGUAAAACUCUGUCCUAUGGGAAGAAAAAAAUGACGGUACCAUAGGAGGAAGCCCCGGCUAACUACGUGCCAGCAGCCGCGGUAAUACGUAGGGGGCAAGCGUUAUCCGGAAUCACUGGGCGUAAAGGGUGCGUAGGUGGCUCAUCAAGCCAGAGGUGAAAGGCAUUGGCUCAACCAAUGUAAGCCUUUGGAACUGACGAGCUUGAGUGCAGGAGAGGUAAGUGGAAUUCCUAGUGUAGAGGUGAAAUUCGUAGAUAUUAGGAGGAACACCAGUGGCGAAGGCGACUUACUGGACUGUAACUGACACUGAGGCACGAAAGCGUGGGGAGCGAACAGGAU
rnacentral:rRNA from 1 species